rnacentral:rRNA from 1 species
CUAAAGAAUCUUCCACAAUGGACGGAAGUCUGAUGGAGCGACGCCGCGUGGACGAUGAAGGCCGUGAGGUUGUAAAGUCCUUUUCGGGAGGGGGAAUAACCGCGGGAGGGAAUGCCCGCGGGAUGACGUGAAUCCCGGAAUAAGCCCCGGCUAACACGUGCCAGCAGCCGCGGUAAUACGUAGGGGGCGAGCGUUGUUCGGAAUCAUUGGGCGUAAAGGGUGCGCAGGUGGCCGAUCAAGUCUGGCGUGAAAGUGCGGGGCUCAACUCCGUGAUGCGCUGGAAACUGGCCGGCUAGAGUACAGCAGGGGGCGUCGGAAUUCCAGGUGUAGGGGUGAAAUCUGUAGAUAUCUGGAAGAACACCGGUGGCGAAGGCGGACGCCUGGGCAUGUACUGACACUGAGGCACGAAGGUGCGGGGAGCAAACAGGUUUAGAUACCCUGGUAGU